UACGUAGGUGGCAAGCGUUGUCCGGAUUUACUGGGCGUAAAGAGCGCGCAGGCGGUCGUUCAAGUCGCGUGUGAAAGCCCCCGGCUCAACUGGGGAGGGUCACGCGAUACUGAUCGACUCGAAGGCAGGAGAGGGUAGUGGAAUUCCCGGUGUAGUGGUGAAAUGCGUAGAUAUCGGGAGGAACACCAGUGGCGAAGGCGACUACCUGGACCGGCAUUGACGCUGAGGAGCGAAAGCUAGGGGAGCAAACGGG
rnacentral:rRNA from 1 species